UGAAAGGGACCGACCUUCGGGAGCCUAUACAGGUGUUGCAUGGCUGUCGUCAGCUCGUGUCGUGAGAUGUUCGGUUAAGUCCGCUAACGAGCGCAACCCUCGUCGUAUGUUAUAUGUGUCAUACGAGACUGCCGGUAAAAAGCCGGAGGAAGGUGAGGAUGAUGUCAAGUCAGCAUGACCUUUAUAUCCAGGGCUACACACACGCUACAAUGGUCUGUACAAUGGGUAGCCAAGCCGCGAGGCGGAGCCAAUCCUGAAAGCAGGCCUCAGUUCAGAUUGCAGUCUGCAACUCGACUGCAUGAAGCCGGAGUUGCUAGUAACCGCAGGUCAGCAAUACUGCGGUGAAUACGUUCCCGGGUCUU
rnacentral:rRNA from 1 species